rnacentral:rRNA from 1 species
GAUGAACGCUGGCGGCGUGCCUAAUACAUGCCAGUCGAGCGAACAGACGAGGAGCUUGCUCCUCUGACGUUAGCGGCGGACGGGUGAGUAACACGUGGAUAACCUACCUAUAAGACUGGGAUAACUUCGGGAAACCGGAGCUAAUACCGGAUAAUAUAUUGAACCGCAUGGUUCAAUAGUGAGAGACGGUUUUGCUGUCACUUAUAGAUGGAUCCGCGCCGCAUUAGCUAGUUGGUAAGGUAACGGCUUACCAAGGCGACGAUGCGUAGCCGACCUGAGAGGGUGAUCGGCCACACUGGAACUGAGACACGGUCCAGACUCCUACGGGAGGCAGCAGUAGGGAAUCUUCCGCAAUGGGCGAAAGCCUGACGGAGCAACGCCGCGUGAGUGAUGAAGGUCUUCGGAUCGUAAAACUCUGUUAUUAGGGAAGAACAAAUGUGUAAGUAACUAUGCACGUCUUGACGGUACCUAAUCAGAAAGCCACGGCUAACUACGUG